GCAAGUAGAGCUCAGUGGUAGAGCACGUGCUUGCUGUCCAUGAGGUCUGGGGUUCAAUCCCCAGUGCCUCUG
rnacentral:tRNA from 1 species